GCCAAGGAGGAAGGAGCUCUCUGUCAGGGAAGAGAGGAGAAACCUGAUGAAGGAGCAGUGUCUGACACGGUGAUGAGAUGAAGAAUCCCCGGCUUGAAUGGCACCCAGGGUUUGAGGUUGAAUGAUAAAGAGGAACCUUUGGCCUACAGAGUUGCUCCCUGAGGGAUGGCUGCUUUCAAGGGGUGGUGUUGAUCAGCUGUAGGGCAAGAAAGAGCUCCAGAGUCAAGCCGUACUCCUCCACCUGCCAGAAGCACUCUAUCUCUCUCUCAGCUUGACUAGGACCCAGGGCUUGAGGCUGAACAGUCAAGAGGACACAAGAAACAUCAGGGAAAGGCUUGUUUGGGAAAGCAAAACUCAGGAGUAAAGUCUGCCCAGAGAUCAGGUUUGACUGUUUGAAAACUGCGCCCAGAUCAAGGCCCUCUGGACCAAUGCAUAAUGCAUAUCUGCUCAGUGGUGGACAGACUCUCUGAGGUGCCAACUGGCUUCAAUUCCCAUUAGGUUUCACCAAAGUUGAGGAUGUCCGGUGUCUGCUAGGAUGUGGGUCCUGAGAAAACCAGACUGCCAUUUUAUCUGUUAGUAUAUUUGUAGUAUCACUAUAAUUACCGGUGUGAGACAUCCAACUUCUUUUCCUGUGCUCUGCAAAAUUAUAACAUUAAAUGCUUCCCAAGUUGCAUACAUAAAUUACAAUGAAAUUCAUCAAAACUGACUUCUAAUUGCUGUUCCAAGCUAGUAGAAUGCUCUUUCAACAUGAGAUGAAAAUAUAGUUGUUUAUAAAAUGUUACUGGAAUGAUUGAGAAAAUUUCUCCAAAUACUCUGUUGAUUUUUAUAAACCUUUUUUCCUAUUCCC